CUACUACUCCCUCCGUCCAAAAAUACUUGUCAUUGAAAUGGAUGUAUCUAGAUGUAUUUUUAGUUCUAGACACAUCCAUUUUGAUGACAAGUAAUUCCGGAUGGAGGGAGUAUUAU
rnacentral:pre_miRNA from 1 species